UACGGAAGGGGCGAGCGUUGUUCGGAAUUACUGGGCGUAAAGGGCGCGUAGGUGGCCUGUUAAGUCGAACGUGAAAUCCCCGGGCUCAACCCGGGAACUGCGUCCGAGACUGGCAGGCUCGAAUCCGGGAGAGGGAUGUGGAAUUCCAGGUGUAGCGGUGAAAUGCGUAGAUAUCUGGAGGAACACCGGUGGCGAAGGCGGCAUCCUGGACCGGUAUUGACGCUGAGGCGCGAAAGCCAGGGGAGCAAACGGGG
rnacentral:rRNA from 1 species